GCUGUAGCAAGAUUAAAAAAUGAAUACUAAUGAUUGAUUUCAAAUUAGGCAGCUCUUUUUCUUUUGCCUGCAGCUGAUGCGGUAAGGGAUAUGGAGUCUCAAGAGAUCACUGGUGUUUAGGUGGCUGUAACUCACCCAAUCACCAUUUUUUUUUUUUUAAGUCCUUGUUAUGUUCAGUUUCAUGAGACUUCAUGUUUUUAGCAUUUUAAUUGUGUUUGUUCACUCCAGUGAUGAAACAGAUUUUGUCCCCAGCCUGUUUUCCAUCUGGUUGCUUUGUAAUCAUAAACAAACUAGGUUAGAAGUGAUUUUUUUAAAGCCAAAACUCCCAUUUUCUAUUCUGUUUCAUGUAGGUGAGCACUGGAAUGAAAUUAUUUUCUAAUUUUCUUCAUGCGCAUUUAUUAUUUAGGGUGUGUAUGUGUGUAUUUAAAUAUAUGUAUAUAUCAUGUCUAUAUCUGCAUAUACUGUUAUAUGCACACAUUAAUAUUUGUAUGUGUAUAUAUAAUACUGAUAUAUGCAGAUAUAUACAUGCACAUACCUCUAGUUUUUCUCAUUUAUUGGCCCUUUAAAGAUUUUCUGUUAUAUUCUUUCAGACUGUCAUAGUUUUAGGACAUGACCUGUGACCUCAGGUGUGUGCAGAAAGCGGACAUCACCAACCGGGGAAGGCGGGUUUGUUUUGACCGCCGUAUCAGGAAGGAAAGGGUUGUAUAGACGUGAACUGGAGAACUCAGUGAGCAUGUCUGACAUGCUGAAAGUGGUGUGUUGGCCCCAGGGAAGCCUGGAAGGGUGGUGCCCUCCACACCAUCUCUGUCCUGUGGGUCCAGGCAGUAAGGACGUUGAGGACGGAUCCUCUGCUGGGUGGGCCAUCAGUGCCCUCAGUGAAGGUAAACUCACACCCUCACAUCGUAGCAGUUCUUUAAAACCAAUCCUGUCUUUAUUUAGAAAGAUGCAGCGGGUGGUGAGGGGAGCCAGCAGAGGAGCUGGGCAGGAUGGGGCAGGGCGGGGUGAUUAGCACGCAGCCGUCUUUCUGUUCUUUAUAGAUCUGCCCACCUAGCCUGCCAGUUCAACUUUAGGGAAAGAUCCUAGAGACUAGAGAUGGUCCUGUGUCUCUCCGUGAGCAGCCCAGGGUCAGUGCUCCACACAGCCAGCUGGGGGACCAACGGGCUCUCCUUCUGCUCUCAGUGGCGGCCAGGUGCUGCCUGGUCCCCUGCAGCUGCACACGAGGCCCUGGAGAACCCGGAGCACUGCUGCUGCCUGGCAAAUAUUGCACGUUAGUGCCCCUAGAUAAGGGCCCCUAGAUGGGCAGCUGUGGCAAGCAGGGCUCUGAACAGGCUGGGAAGGCCAUUCUGGGUCCUGUUUGUACCUAUGCGUAGCUGCUGAGAUGUUAUGGGGUCAGGGGAAGACCAGGAUGAGAGUGCACAAGGGGUGCAGGAGGAGAAAGGAGAGGGCCUCUCUCCUUCCCUCUUAUCUAUCACCCUCCAUGGGCCACAUAUGCUCCUCUAUGCUUCUUUUGAAUCUGGAUGCUAUUUUAGGGGUCACUAGAAACAAAGAAUAGUGAAAGAAAAGCUUGCUCCUAGAUACAUACCUAAAUGCAUGCCCAAGCUAUCCUUAACUUACAGGACUAUGCAACGUUGUCAAGACUCAAGGAGGGGUCUCCCCUCCUGCCUGCUUCAGAACUGGGCUCCAUCAAGUACCCUCUCUCCAAAUCUUCAACUUCCUUACAUUUCCAGGCUCUUUUCUCUGGAAGCUAGCCCACAAAUACAAGAAUGCAUGCAAGAAUCUAUCAGCCAAAGGAAAACAAACAUUUAUUUGAAUUGGUGCUACCUCAAUAAGUGUCCCCUUCCUUUUUAUACAAAUUCUCCAAAGAAUAGCUGACACCCACUAUCUCUACUCCUUCACCAUAUGUUUGCUCUCAGGGCGUUGUGAUCUGUCUUCUGAGCUUCUGUUUGAAGGUUCUCAUUGUUCACCAAAGCCCAUCUCAUUUUCAGCCAGUGGACUCUAUUUAUUCUUUAUCUAUCUGGACCUCCUUGAGGCACUGACAUCAGAAUGUAAAUCUUAUCUGUGCAGAGAUUUCUGUUUUGUUCUCUGCUCUAUCCACAGCAUCUGGAAUAGCGCCUGGUAUGGAGUCUGGGCUCAGUAAGUAUUACCUGAAUGAAUAAACUGAUGAGUUCUUUCCCAAGACUAACUGAAGCGUCCACUCCUGGGCUUUGGUGACUCAGCACCCUCCUGGCUCUCCUUCCUGACCAUCCUUUUUGCUUCUUUCACAGAGACCUUUCAGUGAACAUCCUUGUGUUUUGCUGUUCCCCAGGGCUUUUCAUCCUACUUUACUCUGAGUAAUCUUAUCAACUGGAUGUUUUCGUGACCUCUGCAUGCUGAGGAGUCCCAAAUUAUAUCCUCAGCUGGGACCUGUCUUUGGAAUUUCAGGCUCAAAUAUCCAAACAUCUGUUGGUCAUCUUUCCCUUGCACCCUAUAAAAUAUCUCAAAAAUCAACCUUUACUGAACCCUCAGUCUCAUCCCCAGAUCUGCUUCUUCUCUUGAUCUCCAGUUAUGGUAGCGCCCCUAGCCCUUAUCACCAGAGCCAGUGUUAGCAAGGACUUUAGUAUGAGCCCCUGCUUGGAGUUAGUCACAUCUUUUUUGUGUCCGGCCAACUGGAAGGGCGGAUCUGCCUUGGAAACCUGUUUACACAAGGGAUUACAAGUUCUCUCGGGAAAGGACUCAUCCUAAGGGAUGGACAGAGUAGGCUGGCUUGAAAUUGCUGACUCUAGAAAAGCUGAUGGUCACUUUUUACCUUUUCUCCCUUUUAGAUUCCCUUGGGAUAGGAAACUCAGCACUUAUUAUGGUGACCCUUAAUAUAAUCCUACUUAUGCUAACUUGCCUCUUCAAAGUUUUAAAAAUUCGCCUCUGCAUCCUGAUCAUUUAUUUGCCUGUUUGCCCUCAGCUCUGGUCCCCAGCUUUCCUCUGCUCUGCUCUGCAUUGCAGGAAAGUGCAUUUCCCUCAUCAGUGGGGUUCCAGGUAGGGUUGGCCAUGGGAGGCACUGCUGGAAGGCUGGAAGGUGGUGGCAGGGUGUUUUCCCUCCCCUGCUCUGCCUUUGACAGCCUCUUCCCGUGAGAGCUCUACUUCCCACCAGAUGCCUCAGCUUUGGCUCUGCUAACUCUACCUCCUCCCUUUGUCCUUCCAGCCUAGGGGUAACAGGGACUUCUUGAUUUCUCAUUUGCAAACCUCCAGAUUGCUCCUUUUGCCUCGCUUGGGCUUUUCAUCAGCUUCAUCACUGGACAAUCAACCCACUAUAUUAGUUUUCCCUCUCUUUGAAAGACCCCGGUCAUCCCCCUCCUAUGUUUCUCUAUCCCUGUGUCCCACCUCAUCUUCCUUCCUCCAGUCUUUAAAUUACCUUGAACCUGCUAUAGCAAUGUGUCUGUAACACAAAUCUGAUCUCGCCACUUCCAUGUUUAAAACCCUUCCAUGAUUUCAUGCACAUCUAGGAAAAAUUCUAGACCAAACACACCCAACAGGGUGGCCAUUAGCUACAUGUGACUAUUCAGCACUUGAAAUGUGGCCAUCAGAAUUGAGAUGUGCUUAUUAUAAGAGUGAAAUACUCAGUGUAUUUUGAACACUUAGUGCAAAAGAAAGCUCAAAAAAUACCUCAUUAAUUCCUUUUAAUGUCAAUUAUGUGUUGAAAUGAUAAAAAUUGAUUAUAUUAGGUUUAAAAAAUAUUUUUUUAAUUAAUUUUAAAUUUUACCUGUUUAUCUUUUUUUUUUUUUUUUUUUGUCUUUUUAGGGCUGCACCUGUGGCAUAUGGAUGUUCCCAGGCUAGGGGUUGAAUAGGAGCUGCAGCUACUGGCCUGUACUACAGCCACAGGAAUCCAGGAUCCAAGCUGCAUUUGUGACCUACACAUAGUUCAUGGCAAUGCCGGAUCUUAGCCCACUGAGUGAGGCCAGGGAUCAAACCUGCAUCCUCAUGGAUACUAGUCAGAUUUGUUUCCAUUGAGCCACUCCUAUCUGCUUUUAAAAAAAAAAAAAAUUAUUGGAGUGUAGUUGAUUUGCAAUAUUGUAUUAGUUUCAGGUAUACAGCAAAGUGAAUCAGUUAUACAUACACAUAUAUCCAUUCAUUUUCAGAUGCUUCUCCAUAUAGGUUGUUAUGUUUUUGCUGGGCUUUUAAAAUGCGUAUAUUACAAAAUUAAAAAAUAUAAAUGCGGCUUUGCAUUUCUUUGGGGCAGCACUGUUCCAGACUAUGAGGCCCCCGGGAUCUCCACCCUGCUCACCUCUCCAGCCUCACUGACACCACAUGCUGCUUUUCACUUUAGGCUCUAGGAAAAACAGAGUCAGGAUCUACUAGUUCUGACCCUUCCACCCCACCGCACCCCAGGUCAGUUAGCGUCACACUCCCAACUACUAGGGGUCAUGCCCACCCCCACCUGCAGACUCACCCCCACCAGGAAAAAGAAAGGAAUGCUGAGAAGAGUCCAGAUAAUGCAGAUGCUGGGUUGAAGGCUGAAACUUUCCAGGAGAGGCUCAAAAAUGUCGUGUGUUAAAACUUGGUGCACCUCCCUGAAAGAUCUUGCUGGGUCUUCUCUUAGCUUUGAUUCUUCCUUAGAUAGUUGUUGAUGCUCUUGAGUCAUCCAUUCACCCCGAGGCUGGUGGAAUAUGAGAAACCAGAUCCUUCCUUCUCUUCCUUCCAUUCAAAGGAAUGGUCCUGUAACUCAUCAGCUUCAAAUAACAGAGUAGCCCCUGCUCCUAAUAAAGCGGGCUUACCCAGGCUAUGCUCUGUGUCUGCAGCUCUUGCUUGGAGGCUGCAGUGGAAGUUGAGGAAAGAUGGGGUCAAGGUUUCAGAGGUGUUGAUCCUGAUAGCUCAGAGGCACAGCUAAGGCACACCACACUGUGUCCUGGCUCUGGGCCUUUGCUCAUGUACCCUCUGCCCCACUCCCUACUUCUUCCCUCUCCCUGCUCACUCCACUUGUUCUAAAAGAUGCAUUUCAGCUGUUCUUCUGGGCUUGCUUUCCUGACCCCUGCCUAUUAACACCAAUGUUGGAUUUAUCACAUCUUCUUUUUACCAAUCUGUCAGUAUGGCUCUCUCCCUCAUUGCACUGUGUGAGUGUCUUAAUAAUGGCAACAUUAUCUUGUUCAUCUUCGACUCUAGUGCCUGGCCAGAGCAAUGAUCAGUUAAUAUUAAAUGAAUAAAUGGAUGGAUAGAUGGGUGGGACGGGGGUGUGAAUGAUGAAAGUAUUUCUGAGAUUCCCCAUAGUACCUGACAUAAUGUGUUACACAAAUGGAUCCAUAAAUAUUACCAUUUAACUGACGGAAAGUUAGGUUCCAAGAUAUGCUCAUUAAACUAAGCUACAAAAUCAAAAUAAAAACCAGAUUGCUGGUCUUGCUGCCAGUAUUUUUGUAUGUCAGGAAUACCCCCAGAUUUGGAUUAAGUUUGGGGCCAGUUUAGCUGUAGACCCGGACAAAGACGGAAGAGGCAGAUUGGCAGAGUGACGAGCUGUCACGUUUCCAACAGGACAAACAGCUCAUCAGCCAAGAACUCUCUCUCUCAGAUGUCAAUUUACACAUUUCUCAAUUAAUGAUUAAAUUCAUUGCUAUCUUUUUUGUUUGUUUGUUUGCUUUUUAGGGCCGCACUCUCGGCAUAUAGAUGUUCCCAGGCUGGGGAUCAAACUGAAGCUGUAGCUGCUGUCCUACACCACAGCUCACAGCAAUGAGGGACCAUUGAGAGAGGCCAGGGAUCAAACCCGAAUCCUCAUGGAUACUAGUCGGAUUCGUUUCCGCUGAGCCACAAUGGGAACUCCCUCAUUGCUAUCAUUUUUAUCUUGAAUUUAAUACUAGUGUAUCCGAAGGUAUACUGACUCCAGAGUGGGAAACCCGAGUCCUGGUUAAUAUCAGGAUUUCCUGACAAGUCAUGUAUUCCCUCUGAAUCUCUUUUUUCAUCAGAAACUGGGAGAAAUAGCACUUACUCUGCCUAUUUCACCAGGUUGUGGUGAGAAUCAAAUUGAAUUAGGUUCAUGAAGAGCUUUGUAAACUAUAAAAUGUUGUACAAAUGUUGGCUAUUAUAAUAGUAUUGUAUAUCAUUUCUCAAUUCCACAGGGACUUAGAAGGAAAUAGUUGAAUAAGAACAUAAUUUGAUAGAAAUAUUUGCACAUUCAAUUAUGUUUUAUCGCAGCCUACCUGCCCAAAUAGUUUUUUAAUCUGUAUUAAUCUUAAAUGCUGUUUUUAUUAGCUGGAGUUUCAAAACACUUUAAUAA
rnacentral:lncRNA from 1 species